rnacentral:rRNA from 1 species
UUGACCUCGGAUCAGGUAGGGAUACCCGCUGAACUUAAGCAUAACAAU